GACAUCCCUGAUAUCUGAAUGGCCACUCCGGGUGCCAGGCAAAAAUUGAAUUCGCUAGUGGUAGUUUGAUGCUGAUUGACAUCUCAUUUCACCUCUUGUUGAAAUAAGCAAUUAUUUUGACAUUCGGCAGCGCAUUUAUCAAAAUUGAGGACGAGGACGGGAGAAUAAUAACGUUGUUUGCGAGAUACAGAAGAAUAAAAGAACAUGCAGAAGAAGAAGAAGAGAGAAUAUUUCCACAGCUCCACAAGCUCGUUUCGCGAUUGGCGAAAGCAUCCUAUUUGAAGGUCAAUUAAGCAUGAACAGAAAGGGAGAGAUAUCAGACAUAUUUUUAAAGAAGCACAAACAGGCAGAUCAGGUGCAAACAGACCCCAGGCCUUGCAUCACCACUGGACCCCAGAUCAGCUCCCUACCUGACGCUAGUCAGAGUCAGUGUGGUCAGACUUCAUAAGGACCAAGUCUACCACCACCAGAUGUAUCAAGGGAUGACACAGAGACCUCUGGCUUUGAGCAAGACAGUGAGCCAGAGCUGCCAGGAGAUGUCAUCGAGCCCCUCCCGACUGCAUCAAGCACCCAUAAGGACAUGUGUAGAGAUAUGACACGUUAUUUAAUGUGUAUUUAAGACAUUUCAAGAUCCAGAGAAGAGGGUCCUGUACAGCCGUGUUUGAAAACAUUUCCCAGGACUUUCAACAGCUCCUGGUAGGAGGAUAAUUCAUGGCUUGAAUAUUCUGUAAAUCAAGAUUCAACUUAUUGUUUUGCCUGUAGGCAUUUUUCUCUGCCCAUACACCUGAAUCUACCUUCACAUCACAGUCAGGUUUUUGUAACUGGAAAAAAAGUGCUGUUUAAGCUCCAUUCGAAGGCAGAGCAUCAUAUCAAUGCUAUGUUUGCUUGGAAUCAGCAUAAAAGGGCUAUUGACAGCAACUCAUCAAUGUUAGAUGUUAUAAAUGAGGACCGGAAAAAGAAAGUGGAGAAAAACUGUACUUACAUUAAAACAAUUGCAGAUGUGCUCCUAUUAAAUGCCACUCAAAAUAUAGUGCAGAGGUCAUCGAGAGUCUGGUGACUCUCACAACAAGGGUAAUAUUUUAGAAGAAAUAGCAAAGCAUGACCCCUCAUAGAGAAAAGGAUGAAUGCAUGUGGCAAUGCUAUGUACACAAGCCACCAAAUCCAGAACAAAGUUCUUGAGGGCUGAGCUGAGAUGGUACAAAGGGAAAUCAUAAGAGAAGUAAAAGAAAGUGACGUUUUUAGUGUAAUUGCAGAUGAAACCAAAGAUUUAAAGAAAAAAUAACAAAUGUCUUUAGUUGUGAGCUACUAUUACAACGGGGCCAUCCACAAAAGUUUUUUACACUUUCAGUCAGCUGAAAGCUUAGAUGCAGUAGGUCUCACAAAAAUUAUAAUUGAUUGCCUUGAAAAACAUGGUCUGGGCUACAGAAAUAAUCUUGUGGGGCAAGGCUAUGACGGUGCAUUGGUCAUGAGCGGAAAGCAUUCUGGUGUGUCUGCACGAAUUAAAAACAGUGCAAGAUUUGCAUUUUAUUUGCACUGUCAUGCACAUAGUUUGAAUUUGGUCCUUGUCGAUGCUGUAAAAUCAGUGCCUGAGGCAGUUCACUUUUUUGCUCUCCUGCAGAAGCUUUAUAACUUUGUAUCUGGCUUGUACGUUCAUCUCAAGUGGCUUGGAGUUCAGAAAGAGCUGUAUCCACAGCAGCAGCCCAGGGAACUACAGAGACUUACGGAUGUAAGGUGGGCAUGCAGAUACAUGGCAUGCCGUAAUCUGAGGGACAGGCUUCCAGCAGUUCUGAGAGUGCUACAGGAUAUCACACUUAAAAAUAGUGGUGAUAGAUCAGUGGAGGCAAGGGGCAUUCUUUCUCAGAUAGAUUUACAUUUCAUAGGGCUUUUGGUUACCUUUUGUAAAGUGCUUGGUGAUGCCAAAUGUCUUUCUGACAUGCUCCAAUCAAGCUCUCUUGACCUAGCAAGGGCUGUGGAUCUAGUAGGUGCCCUUACAGACCCAUUACAUGACUACAGAAGUGAGGGUUACUUUGGAGAACUAUGGAAGGAGGUUGAAGAGAUUGCAGAGCACUGCAAAAAUAAGUGUACAAACAGUGUGUAAAAGACAGCCUAAAACAAGCUUAAGAUUUCACGACUCAUUGAUAAUGAGCACUGUAAGACAGAAAAAUAGUGACAAAAGUGAUGGUGAGUUUCCAAAGAGCUAUCUUUUAUCAGGUGCUUGACAGUCUCACAGCUGAGCUGCAGAGGCGUUUUUCAAAGAACAAUUGCGAGAUAAUGGGGGUCCAGUCUCUCAACCCAAAGAGUACAACAUUCUUGAAUGGGGAGCCUCUGUUUGCCUUUGCUCAGACCUUUGAGUCAGAAUUAGAGGACCUCAAACAUGAGGUUCAUCAAACCAAGCGGCUUCUUGAUAGGAGAGAGAAAAGUGGA